AUUGAACGCUGGCGGCAUGCCUUACACAUGCAAGUCGAACGGCAGCACGGGAGUAUCCUGGUGGCGAGUGGCGAACGGGUGAGUAAAGCAUCGGAACGUGCCCAGUCGUGGGGGAUAACGUAGCGAAAGCUACGCUAAUACCGCAUACGAUCUGUGGAUGAAAGCGGGGGACCGUAAGGCCUCGCGCGAUUGGAGCGGCCGAUGUCAGAUUAGGUAGUUGGUGAGGUAAAGGCUCACCAAGCCGACGAUCUGUAGCUGGUCUGAGAGGACGACCAGCCACACUGGGACUGAGACACGGCCCAGACUCCUACGGGAGGCAGCAGUGGGGAAUUUUGGACAAUGGGCGCAAGCCUGAUCCAGCAAUGCCGCGUGCAGGAUGAAGGCCUUCGGGUUGUAAACUGCUUUUGUACGGAGCGAAAAGGCUUCCACUAAUACUGGGGGCUCAUGACGGUACCGUAAGAAUAAGCACCGGCUAACUACGUG
rnacentral:rRNA from 1 species